GCCAAUUCUAGCAUGCAACUUGUCUGGAAUUCCUGUUUGCUAAGGAAUCUACUUCUCCCCAUCAGAGCUCUCCCUUUAAACUAAAGAGUUUCUGCACAGCAAAAGAAACUACCAUCAGAGUGAACAGGCAACCUACAAAAUGGGAGAAAAUUUUUGCAACCUACUCAUCUGACAAAGGGCUAAUAUCCAGAAUCUGCAAUGAACUCAAACAAAUUUACAAGAAAAAAACAACCCCAUCAAAAAGUGGGCAAAGGACAUGAACAGACACUUCUCAAAAGAAGACAUUUAUGCAGCCAACAGACACAUGAAAAAAUG
rnacentral:lncRNA from 1 species